UAGCACGUUGAAUGCACCAGUUCCCCAUGGAUCACUGAAGUUAAGCAACGUUGCGCGUGGUUCGUAUAUGGGUGGGUGACCAAUGUGACCAUCUGGG
rnacentral:rRNA from 1 species